ensembl:misc_RNA 7SK 7SK RNA
GGAUGUGAGGGUGAUCUGGCUGCAACAUCUGUUAUCCCAUUGAUUGCCAGGGUUGAUUUGGUUGAUCUGAUUGGCUAGACAGUAGUCCUCUCCCUCCCUCACCUUCCCUCACAAAGCUGCACAUUAGGUGGAAGGGGCUUUGGUCAAGGGUAUACAAGUAUCUGCACUCCCCUUCUAGAACCUCCAAACAAGCUCUCAAUAAUUUGUUUUGCUGGACUCUGUUAUGUUUCCCUGCUUCUAGCUCCUACCUAUAUUCUUAGAUUCACUUCUGACAUGAAUGUGCCAGUGGGU